rnacentral:rRNA from 1 species
UCAUAGCGUAUAUUAAGGUUGUUGCAGUUAAAAGCUCGUAGUUGGAGUUCAGGGUGAGCUCAACUGGUCGGCCUCAGGGUCAGAACUGGUUGACUCUCUCUUGUUUGUGGAUUCCGCCCGGAGUUAACUCUUCGGAUGUGAAGUCCACAUCGUUUACCUUGAGAAAAUUAGAGUGUUCAAAGCAGGCGUUUGCUUGAAUAUAUUAGCAUGGAAUAAUGGAAUAGGACGCUGGUUCUAUUUUGUUGGUUUUGAGAACCAGAGUAAUGAUUAAUAGGGACAGUUGGGGGCAUUCAUAUUUCAUUGUCAGAGGUGAAAUUCUUGGAUUUAUGAAAGAUGAACUUCUGCGAAAGCAUUUGCCAAGGAUGUUUUCAUUAAUCAAGAACGAAAGUUAGGGGAUCGAAGACGAUCAGAUACCGUCGUAGUCUUAACCAUAAACUAUGCCGACUAGGGAUUGGGCGUGGUUUGUUCAUUGACCCGCUCAGCACCUUACGAGAAAUCAAAGUCUUUGGGUUCCGGGGGGAGUAUGGUCGCAAGGCUGAAACUUAAAGGAAUUGACGGAGGGGCACCACCAGGAGUGGAGCCUGCGGCUUAAUUUGACUCAACACGGGAAAACUGACCACGUCCAGACAUAGUAAGGAUUGACAGAUUGAGAGCUCUUUCUUGAUUCUAUGGGUGGGGGUGCAUGGCCGUUCUAAUUUG